AAGUCGUAACAAGGUUUCCGUAGGUGAACCUGCGGAAGGAUCAUUAACAACAUAUCCUAACUAAAAAACCCUGUGAACUUUCAAUGUCCCGAACCUUUGAUCCGAGGACUUCAGCAAUCUCUGGUAAAUCAUAGUGAACAGCUUUUGAUUCAGAGACCUCUGAAAUAACCUAGCGUGGUUGGGUGAGGUAAGGCAAGUGACCUGGUACCCUCAAGACCAGUGUUCAAUGAUCUGUCAGUGUUCAUUUAUAACUAAACGACUGUUAACAAUGGAUAUCUCGAUUCUC
rnacentral:misc_RNA from 1 species